rfam:Ceraceosorus bombacis genome assembly, contig: Scaffold_280
GGCUGCGUGGCGCAGUUGGUUAGCGCGACAGCUUAACAUUUCCACAUCUUUGGCACCAGUUGCCAAUUGCUGGUUACGCUGCAGGUCCCCGGUUCAAGUCCGGGCGCGGUCA